AUUGAACGCUGGCGGCAGGCCUAACACAUGCAAGUCGAACGGUAACAGGGAUCAGCUUGCUGAUUCGCUGACGAGUGGCGGACGGGUGAGUAAUGUCUGGGAAACUGCCUGAUGGAGGGGGAUAACUACUGGAAACGGUAGCUAAUACCGCAUAACGUCGCAAGACCAAAGCGGGGGACAUUCGGGCCUCUUGCCAUCGGCUGUGCCCAGAUGGGAUUAGCUAGUAGGUGGGGUAACGGCUCACCUAGGCGACGAUCCCUAGCUGGUCUGAGAGGAUGACCAGCCACACUGGAACUGAGACACGGUCCAGACUCCUACGGGAGGCAGCAGUGGGGAAUAUUGCACAAUGGGCGCAAGCCUGAUGCAGCCAUGCCGCGUGUAUGAAGAAGGCCUUCGGGUUGUAAAGUACUUUCAGCGGGGAGGAAGGGAGUAAAGUUAAUACCUUUGCUCAUUGACGUUACCCGCAGAAGAAGCACCGGCUAACUCCGUG
rnacentral:rRNA from 1 species